AUGUCUGGAGUAUAAAGCCAAGAUAUCAUGGAGUAUCAUGGAAUCCAACAGUAGUUGCGGGUGUUUGUCAAAGGGCAGUUUACUGAUGAUGAGUGGGCAGAGGAAUAACAUAUGCCCAAAAUGACGAUGACCAUUAGGGAGAGCUCUUUGAGGUGCUCGAGGAUGAUAAGUGCCUUCCAGAAGAACAAGUUCAAGCAAUUGCUAAGCAGCUGGUAAAAGAAUUGUAUUACUUGCACUCCAAUCGUAUUAUCCACCGGGAUAUGAAACCUCAGAACAUCCUUAUUGGAAAAGGAUCUAUUGUCAAGGUACAAUUCUGAAUACUCAAGGUGAUGGUGAUCACUGAUGCCGCACCAUCUCAGUCGUCUGGGUUCAACU